UACGUAGGUGGCAAGCGUUGUCCGGAUUUACUGGGCGUAAAGGAUGCGUAGGCGGACAUUUAAGUCAGAUGUGAAAUACCCGAGCUUAACUUGGGUGCUGCAUUUGAAACUGAGUGUCUAGAGUGCAGGAGAGGUAAGUGGAAUUCCUAGUGUAGCGGUGAAAUGCGUAGAGAUUAGGAAGAACACCAGUGGCGAAGGCGACUUACUGGACUGUAACUGACGCUGAGGCAUGAAAGCGUGGGGAGCAAACAGG
rnacentral:rRNA from 1 species